rnacentral:rRNA from 1 species
CUACGGGUCGCAGCAGUGAGGAAUAUUGCACAAUGGGGGGAACCCUGAUGCAGCAACGCCGCGUGGAGGAUGACGCAUUUCGGUGUGUAAACUCCUUUUAUAUCUCAAGAAAAUGACGGUAGCAUAUGAAUAAGCACCGGCUAACUCCGUGCCAGCAGCCGCGGUAAUACGGAGGGUGCAAGCGUUCCUCGGAAUCACUGGGCGUAAAGGACGCGUAGGCGGGUUGGAAAGUCAGGUGUGAAAUCCUACAGCUUAACUGUAGAACUGCACUUGAAACUUCUAAUCUAGAGUAUGGGAGGGGGAGAUGGAAUUAGUGGUGUAGGGGUAAAAUCCGUAGAUAUCACUAGGAAUACCUAAAGCGAAGGCGAUCUCCUGGAACAUUACUGACGCUAAGGCGUGAAAGCGUGGGGAGCAAACAGGAUUAGAUACCCCCGUAGUC